ensembl:misc_RNA 7SK 7SK RNA
GGCUGUGAGGGCAAUCAGGCUGUGACAUCUGCCACCAUCUUGAUUUCCAGUGUUGAUUAGGCUAAUAUGAAUGACUAGGAUGCUGUGCCCUUCAUCCCUCACUCUCCCUACCCCAUAUUCUUUUCAAAGUACCACUCAGUAGAAGAGGAUGAAUUUCCUCCAACAGACACUGCUUGUUCUGUGGACGUUCUCUGGGCCAUCCAUGACUGUGCUUUCUUUCUACAACCUCCAAGUGAAUUUUCAAAAAUAUCAGUAGGAAUGGUGCAUCUUACUGCAAAUACACAUACUUCGGUUUGGAUCCUGCUGGGUGUGGGGAAAGUUUCCAAGGCUCUCAGGACCCGGAAGU